GAAAUGCGAUACGUAAUGCGAAUUGCAAAACCUCGUGAAUCAUCAAAAUUUUGAACGCACAUUGCGCUUCCGGGAAAUGUCCGGUAGCAUACUUAUCUGAGUGUCCGUGAACCCCCCUCAGCAGGCAGACUAUGUUAUGUACACGUACAGUAUGUAUGUAUGUAUGUAUGAUGUAUGUAUGUAUGUAUGUAUGUAUGUAACAUGUUUAGUUAGCUGGAAUGUGUUAUUGCAAGUUUGGCCUUUGGGUUGAGUUGCUAUAAUGAAGUGAGCGAAAGUAAGACUAGUAGUUAGGAUGACCUGCUGUAGUCCCUGUUGCCUUGUCCGUGUGUGACUUGGUGCUCUGUUAGUCUAAUAUCUCUGUAAAUUAGUUUUAUCAGUUUUAUCAGUUUGAGCAUUAGUCAGUGAUGGAUGGUAAGGUGGGAUUGUGUAGAGGUUUUGAUUCCUUGAUUGCGUCCGGAUCUCAGAUUAAGUAAGGAGACCCGCUGAAUUUAAGCAUAUAAUUAAGCGGAGCAAAAGAAACUAACCAGGAUUCCCUC
rnacentral:rRNA from 1 species